UUUUAAGAGCUGUCCCUGAAGAUCAGGCCAGCAAAGGGACCUAGGGGGAGGUAACAAAGGGUUAAGGCGGCAGCUGGCAGAGCAGAGAGCGUGCAGUGGAGCUGGGCUGAGACUGUUCCCACUGGCGACCAAGUCAGCUGUCAUCAGAGAACAAAGACCCCCCCAGAGCCCCUCGUUCACUUCGUUCACUCCGUGUCACACCCGGGAAGCCCAGAGAACUCCUUGAUUAGGAUUUCUGAGUCAGCCCCACUCAGACUAAAGCUCAGGGACAAUGGCUGCCACAGUCACACAGCCUGUAGUCCCCCAAACGCUGCCCCCUCCCACAGGGCCUCCAAGGCCACUUCACCUCCAUCCGGACAAUCGGAUCUGGUCCAAAGCCUCCAGUCUGCUGGAGCAGGAUCCAGAGAGCCCCAGGAGUCAAUGGGGAACCUGGCUCUGGUUAUUGUUUUAGCGGAUAGCAGUGAACAAAAUGGGUCCAAUUGGAAGCUGGAAAGGCCAAAUGCAGGGCUCAGGAGGUCAGAGUUGGCUGUUGUUUCAUCCUGAGCAAGUCUAUGCUUAGAGUUUUGCACUGGACUCAUGGAAACCCCACCUCCACCACCAGUCUCCAGCCUGAGGACCCUUUCAGAGAGUGGAUGAGGCUGCCACGGCCCAGGAGCCCUGGAGCUCUGCAAGACCACUCAGUGUGGGAGCUUUUUUCUUCCGGGUCAAGGCUAUUGCAUGACAGAGUACUGUGGCUGCUUCCAAAGCACUCUGUAUUCCAAGACUUGAUUUGAUCCCCGUAGAGGAGACUUCGUAUCCAAACCACAGCUGGCCUCUUAAGCACAGAACCUGAACUCCCAAAGGCUAGAAGGAAACCACUCCAUUCUGCUCUUGUGCAAUGUUGGUAUCCGGGUUUUAAGGCUGCCUGCGAUGGCUGGCAGGUGAGCCAGGGAGGAACCUUUGCAGAGGGGCCAGAGGCUGAAGAUGUGUAAGAACCUGGGCAGUGGAAGCACUUGAAGGCUGAAGGCAAAAAGGAGUCACCGAGUGAAGAGGACUGAGUGCUGAAGGCCUGCUCUCCAUCAUGCUGUGCUUCUACAACAAAGAACCUUCCAGACCCUUCACAGCCUGCAUAAAAGAUGCCUUCUCUGUGUCUCACCUUGCAGUUGGCCGUCUCACUCAGUGUUUCCCACCCCUUGACACUGUCGCACAGGCGGAUGUAAGAAGCACCCGCAUCCACUGUCAAUUCUCCGUGUGCCACCCUGGCUUCAGAUAUUAUGCUGCAAUAUCUUCCAAGUUCCAGCAUUCUAUCCUGUAGGAAGGCUCUUAUGACUUAGGAAAUAAACAAAGGUCUUAGGUCUUGGCAAACUGAAAUAUCUAAACUUCACAAGAUUCCUCACCAAGACCAGCUGAGCUGCCUGGAGAAGACUCCAAUGAUCUACGCUGCC